AGAGUUUGAUCAUGGCUCAGAUUGAACGCUGGCGGCAUGCUUUACACAUGCAAGUCGGACGGCAGCACGGAGAAGCUUGCUUCUUGGGUGGCGAGUGGCGAACGGGUGAGUAACAUAUCGGAACGUACCGAGUAAUGGGGGAUAACUAAUCGAAAGAUUAGCUAAUACCGCAUAUUCUCUGAGGAGGAAAGCAGGGGACCUUCGGGCCUUGCGUUAUUCGAGCGGCCGAUAUCUGAUUAGCUAGUUGGUGGGGUAAAGGCCUACCAAGGCGACGAUCAGUAGCGGGUCUGAGAGGAUGAUCCGCCACACUGGGACUGAGACACGGCCCAGACUCCUACGGGAGGCAGCAGUGGGGAAUUUUGGACAAUGGGCGCAAGCCUGAUCCAGCCAUGCCGCGUGUCUGAAGAAGGCCUUCGGGUUGUAAAGGACUUUUGUCAGGGAAGAAAAGGCUGUUGCUAAUACCGACAGCUGAUGACGGUACCUGAAGAAUAAGCACCGGCUAACUACGUGCCAGCAGCCGCGGUAAUACGUAGGGUGCGAGCGUUAAUCGGAAUUACUGGGCGUAAAGCGAGCGCAGACGGUUACUUAAGCAGGAUGUGAAAUCCCCGGGCUCAACCUGGGAACUGCGUUCUGAACUGGGUGACUAGAGUGUGUCAGAGGGAGGUAGAAUUCCACGUGUAGCAGUGAAAUGCGUAGAGAUGUGGAGGAAUACCGAUGGCGAAGGCAGCCUCCUGGGAUAACACUGACGUUCAUGCUCGAAAGCGUGGGUAGCAAACAGGAUUAGAUACCCUGGUAGUCCAA
rnacentral:rRNA from 1 species